rnacentral:rRNA from 1 species
CGUGUAGGCGGCUUGGUAAGUCGGAUGUGAAAGCCCGGGGCUCAAUCCCGGAAUUGCAUACGAAACUGCCUCGCUAGAGUCUCGGAGAGGAGGGCGGAAUUCCCGGUGUAGAGGUGAAAUUCGUAGAUAUCGGGAGGAACACCAGUGGCGAAGGCGGCCCUCUGGACGAUGACUGACGCUGAGACGCGAAAGCGUGGGGAGCAAACA